rnacentral:rRNA from 1 species
GCUGAAUCCCCGAUUACUAGACAACUCCGACUUCAUGUGGGCGGGUUGCAGCCCACAAUCCGAACUGGGACCACUUUUUUGAGAUCCGCUCCCCCUCUCAGGCUCGCUUCUCUCUGUAGUGGCCAUUGUAGCACGUGUGUAGCCCAGGUCAUAAGGGGCAUGAUGAUUUGACGUCGUCCCCACCUUCCUCCGAGUUGUCCCCGGCAGUCUUAUCAGAGUCCUCAGCAUUAUCUGUUAGUAACUGAUCACAAGGGUUGCGCUCGUUGCGGGACUUAACCCAACAUCUCACGACACGAGCUGACGACAACCAUGCACCACCUGUCUCAAUACGGACCGAAGUCCACGAUGUAUCUCUACAAGUUUUAUUGGAUGUCAAGACCUGGUAAGGUUCUUCGCGUUGCUUCGAAUUAAACCACAUGCUCCGCUGCUUGUGCGGGCCCCCGUCAAUUCCUUUGAGUUUCAACCUUGCGGCCGUACUCCCCAGGCGGAAUGCUUAUUGUGUUAACUCCGGCACAGAAGGGGUCGAUACCCCCUACACCUAGCAUUCAUCGUUUACAGGGUGGGACUACCA